GUUCGUUUCGUUUGCGUAUUCAAAGUGCCAUCGAAAAAUUUUGUAUGAAAAAUUAAACAGCGCCCCCUAUAGGUCAUAAAAAGAAAAAAACACCUAACUUUCGAUUUUCUUUCGUAUCGAGUUCAAAUACUAGGCGUGACGAAAGAUGGAUUUUGUAUGAAAUAACGUAGUACGAACCUAAUUUUGACAAUCAACGGUCGUUUCGUUGUCGUUGAAAUCAUCGAAUGUUGUGUCACUGUCAAUUUUGUUGUGAGAAGAUUACGUUGAUAUAAAUUUUACGUGUUUUUGAGGCUUAAAUGUGGAGAUUAUGUGGUCGGCGAAUUUAUUUCCUUGUUUGGCAUCAUUUAGAUUGUUUAGAUGCUUUAAGUUAAGAGAUUAGGAAGCAUCCCAACAGCAGGUAUUUGACCACAAUCGCACAUGAUGUUAAGAGGGAUGCAGUCUAGGAUGGUACAUAUCUGCCCUGUAAGAUACCUACUUAUGUGACAAAUUGCCGGAAAGAUAGUCUUAUGGCAACAAAAAGAGUGUCCUUGGAACACAAGGCAAGUACAUAAUUUAUUCAUACAUUCUGUCUACUCUACAUACCACAUGAUUUCUUUGUCAUUUGAUAGAUAAUAAUUAUUACAGGUUAUAUUAUGUGCUAUGCAUUAAGAUGCAUCCAGUUCAUACCAAGGCACUGAUGGUAUGAAGAAGCAUUUGGAAUUACUUAACCAAUGCUCUCAAUACCCCCAACAUACUCGGAGAAGUAGGUACCUACCCUACCCAAACCUUACAAAGAUCCAGCUCCGGCACAGAAUAAGUAAUAGGACUAAGGUUCCUAGGCACACUUAAGAAAUACCA